UUCGAAGAAUUUUCAAAAUGGGUUUGGUUUCUAGGGUCGGAGUCCUUUCUAGGUACAUCUACAAAAUUCCACUAGAAAAUGCGUCCGAUUUCGGUAGCCUGUUUUUCAAAAGAAUCCUUCUGCCUUCCGUAGUCAAAAAUUGUUUUUAGGAAGACCAUCGCGCAGUA